AAAAUACAUAGUUUUAAGAAGUUGAAGGAUAGAAUAAAAAUAUCCAUUAACAGAUGUCGUUGAUACAUUAACUGUCACCCUUAAAAAUCACCUUGUUUCUUAAUUAGAAUUCUUCAAGCAUACCAGCUGAAUCCUUCGUCACUGUGCACCACACCCUGUGUGAAUUCAAAGCAUGAGAGAGGAUUAUUUUCUAGUUAAUGGAGCAUAACUGCCGUCUGCCAUCCGUCUUGAUCAUCAUUAGACCUGGGUAUCUGUAGGCAUCAUGCACUGGAUCCUCUACAACUGUGAGAUAAGCAGGCAGCUUCUACUGAUCUUCAGCAAUCUCAGAAAAGCAACUCCACGAGUACGUCUUAGUCAAAUGGGAUACACACUGCAAAACAGAAAAAUAAAGAAUGUGACCUGAACCUGGAAGUGAAUGAUACAAGCCGAGAAGCGGGCAAAGCAUAUUCUGCAAAUCAAGCCCGUUAAAAUUCUGCUGCAAAGCGCAGACUUGACUGACUGCAAGUGGAGCUGUCAGCUCAUACAGGCAUCACUGUCAAAGGGCCGUGUCAUCUGUCAGUGCUGGUUCCAGCUCACUGUUCCACAUAGAGGCAAUGCACUGUUGCCUCCCAAUUGAUAACACGCUGCCAGAAGCAUGCUACUUUCUCAUCCGUCUUCUUGUAGCUGUCAAAAAUGGAAUCCAUUAAUUAGUUUGUUCUUGUGAAUUUUAGUUGUUCGGAAGACAUGUAAAUUUCAAAGUAAGACAAAUAAAAAUUCCUCUCCAAACCGUGAUGCCAAUAAGGGCUCAAAACCCCCAAAGUGGCAGCCCUUCCUGACAGUAACUAAACUGACCAGCUAAAUUCUGCCUUAAGUGAAUGUAAUGAUGUGGCUACUUUCCCAUCCCUUUUAAUGAGGGCAAGGUUCCCAAGGCAGCAAAAGGAGAAUCCAAGUUAGAGCAUCUGGUGGGGAGCCGCCCUGAGCUUUGCUCUAACUAGUCAGGAGGUUUGACACAACUCAGGGAGCCCGGUUGCUGCUGCUCUUGAAUGAUUACCUUUCUGUGUUUUAUUCCUCUCCAGUGGCUUCCAAAAAAGUUUGGACUUUAUCCCCUUCAUUUUAAGGGUCCCACAAAGCAAGGGCAAGUCUAUAAACUCCACGUAUGCUUUAGACAGAGAGUCUCACAUAAAUCCCCUCAGCAUCCCAAUAUAGAAUGUGUAUAUAAAUUGAAAGAAUUAUAUAUAUAAAAGCUCAAAACUAUAUUGUACAAUCCUUAUGUGUGUCAGUGUUUGGUAAACAUGAACGUGUUUCAGCCUGACUCGAUCCUUUUUCUUUCUCUCCAUCUUUUCACGUCAGCAAAUCAAAGGUUGAGCUGACACUGACUUAUUUUAUCAUAUUCAAUUCAGUAAGUCCUCCGUAAGGGACUGUUCCUCAUAACUCUGCUGGGCACUCUUGGAAAUAGAAACAAUGAUUAAAAGGCAGCUUUUGCCUCUAGAAAUUCUUACUUCAGAGAAAGGACCAGAGAAAGUCACACACACACACACUAAUUUGAGAUGGGUUUCAGAAAGUACUCAGGAGACUUUGGAAGUGGGACAGGGAGAUAAGCUGUCAUCCUGGGGACUCGAGAAGGGUUGACGUAAUACUUAAGCAUGGUCCACAAGGUAGGUUUGUUCCUGAUGAGAGUCUACUGCUGUUUUCAAAACUCACGUUCAGUCUGCUCUCUGAGGUGAUGGCGAUAGAGCCUUCUGGAGGUGACUGAAUCAAGAGAAUGGACCCCUCAUGAAUGGUAUUUCUACCCUUACAAUAGAAGACCCUGAAAACUCCUUUUGCCUUCAGCACCAUGUGAGGGUAUGCAAAAAAGCAAGGUGUCUUUGCUCAGGCUGUGGGCCCAAACUAGGUAUGAAAUCUGACAGUGCCUUGAGCAGAGACUCCAGAAUUAUGAGAAACAAAUUUCCGUUGCUUCUAAACUACCCAGACUAUGGUAUUUUGUUAUGACUUCUAGACGGACUAAGGCAACCAUAACAGCUCCUGCCGUUUUCUUUUGGGGACAAGAAAGGACACAGCAAAGGAGCCAGCUCGUGAAUGACAGGAAGCCACAGGUAAAGAUGCACCGAGAAGAGUUUUAAGGCUGACAGGAUGAGAGCUUGCUUGGCACAGCACAGGGAGGACUUCUCUGAGGGAAACAGCCUUGUAAACCCUGUGCAUUUUAGCCCAGCUAGCAAACUGUGGUAGCCCCCUUUCUGAAACACGUCUGAGGAAGAAGCAACAGUUUGAAACACAAAUAAAUAGUAAGUGUAACCUAAAAUAUCUUCCUGAAAUAUUUUUUUCUCACUUCCAGGUUUACAUAUUGUGAGAAAAAACACAAUGUAGAAGGGG